AAAAGCUCGUAGUUGAACCUUGGGCCUGGCUGGCCGGUCUGCCUCACCGCAUGCACUGGUCCGGCCGGGCCUUUCCCUCUGGGGAGCCGCAUGCCCUUCACUGGGUGUGUCGGGGAACCAGGACUUUUACUGUGAAAAAAUUAGAGUGUUCAAAGCAGGCAUAUGCUCGAAUACAUUAGCAUGGAAUAAUAGAAUAGGACGUCGCGGUUCUAUUUUGUUGGUUUCUAGGACCGCCGUAAUGAUUAAUAGGGACAGUCGGGGGCAUCAGUAUUCAAUCGUCAGAGGUGAAAUUCUUGGAUCGAUUGAAGACUAACUACUGCGAAAGCAUUUGCCAAGGAUGUUUUCAUUAAUCAGGAACGAAAGUUAGGGGAUCGAAAACGAUCAGAUACCGUUGUAGUCUUAACCAUAAACUAUGCCGACUAGGGAUCGGGCGGUGUUAUUUCUUGACCCGCUCGGCACCUUACACGAAAGUAAAGUUUUUGGGUUCUGGGGGGAGUAUGGUCGCAAGGCUGAAACUUAAAGAAAUUGACGGAAGGGCACCACAAGGGGUGGAGCCUGCGGCUUAAUUUGACUCAACACGGGGAAACUCACCAGGUCCAGACACAACUAGGAUUGACAGAUUGAGAGCUCUUUCUUGAUUUUGUGGGUGGUGGUGCAUGGCCGUUCUUAGUUGGUGGAGUGAUUUGUCUGCUUAAUUGCGAUAACGAACGAGACCUUAACCUGCUAAAUAGCCCGUGCCGCCUAGGCGGCACGCCGGCU
rnacentral:rRNA from 1 species